GGCGAGGUGGCCGAGUGGUUAAGGCGACGGACUGCUAAUCCGUUGGGCUCUGCCCUCGUGGGUUCGAGUCCCACCCUCGUCG
rnacentral:tRNA from 1 species